UACGUAGGGUGCGAGCGUUGUCCGGAAUUAUUGGGCGUAAAGAGCUCGUAGGCGGUUUGUCGCGUCGACUGUGAAAACCUACAGCUUAACUGUGGGCUUGCAGUCGAUACGGGCAGACUUGAGUUCGGUAGGGGAGACUGGAAUUCCUGGUGUAGCGGUGAAAUGCGCAGAUAUCAGGAGGAACACCGGUGGCGAAGGCGGGUCUCUGGGCCGAUACUGACGCUGAGGCACGAAAGCGUGGGGAGCAAACAGG
rnacentral:rRNA from 1 species